rnacentral:rRNA from 1 species
GAGAGUUUGAUCCUGGCUCAGGACGAACGCUGGCGGCGCGCCUAACACAUGCAAGUCGAACGGAAUCAAGAGGAGCUUGCUUUUCUUGAUUUAGUGGCGAACGGGUGAGUAACGCGUGAGUAACCUGCCCUGGAGUGGGGGACAACAGUUGGAAACGACUGCUAAUACCGCAUAAGCCCACGGUACCGCAUGGUACUGAGGGAAAAGGAUUUAUUCGCUUCAGGAUGGACUCGCGUCCAAUUAGCUAGUUGGUGAGGUAACGGCCCACCAAGGCGACGAUUGGUAGCCGGACUGAGAGGUUGAACGGCCACAUUGGGACUGAGACACGGCCCAGACUCCUACGGGAGGCAGCAGUGGGGGAUAUUGCACAAUGGGGGAAACCCUGAUGCAGCGACGCCGCGUGGAGGAAGAAGGUUUUCGGAUUGUAAACUCCUGUCGUUAGGGACGAUAAUGACGGUACCUAACAAGAAAGCACCGGCUAACUACGUGCCAGCAGCCGCGGUAAAACGUAGGGUGCAAGCGUUGUCCGGAAUUACUGGGUGUAAAGGGAGCGCAGGCGGACCGGCAAGUUGGAAGUGAAAUCCAUGGGCUCAACCCGUGAAUUGCUUUCAAAACUGCUGGCCUUGAGUAGUGCAGAGGUAGGUGGAAUUCCCGGUGUAGCGGUGGAAUGCGUAGAUAUCGGGAGGAACACCAGUGGCGAAGGCGACCUACUGGGCACCAACUGACGCUGAGGCUCGAAAGCAUGGGUAGCAAACAGGAUUAGAUACCCUGGUAGUCCAUGCCGUAAACGAUGAUUACUAGGUGUUGGAGGAUUGACCCCUUCAGUGCCGCAGUUAACACAAUAAGUAAUCCACCUGGGGAGUACGACCGCAAGGUUGAAACUCAAAGGAAUUGACGGGGGCCCGCACAAGCAGUGGAGUAUGUGGUUUAAUUCGAAGCAACGCGAAGAACCUUACCAGGUCUUGACAUCCGAUGCAUAGUGCAGAGAUGCAUGAAGUCCUUCGGGACAUCGAGACAGGUGGUGCAUGGUUGUCGUCAGCUCGUGUCGUGAGAUGUUGGGUUAAGUCCCGCAACGAGCGCAACCCUUAUUGCCAGUUACUACGCAAGAGGACUCUGGCGAGACUGCCGUUGACAAAACGGAGGAAG